UGGAUCGAAUCGGUUGAUCGGUUUCAGUCGAUCGUUGACCUAGAAUAUCAAAUAGUGCGUGUCUACCGGUGUGAUCGUUAAUGUUAUAUCGGAAGAAUUUCGAAUGUCAAGGACAUUCGUAUAUUAAUAUUAGAAAAACAGGUGCGCGCGAAAUUGGAAAGAACAUUAAAGAAGAGAAAGGAAGAGGAAAGAUGAGAAGUGAAUUCUCAUAAAAAAGAAUCAAAGAAUAACUUGUGUGCUUCUCUCGUAAAAAAGAGAAAAGUGUGGGUUCCGUCCUCGUGCGCUCGACUCGCCUAUCCCGAUUUCUCCCGGCCAUAUAAAGAACGAAAAGUAUUCGAAAAAGAAUCGAAGAAGCCUGCCAAGGAAGCAAGAACAAGAAAACGUAAAAAGAGAAGGGACUAGUAGAUUGAGAGAGCAAAAGAGAGAAUAAUACGAGAAACAGAAAUAUAUAUGUGUAUAUAUAUAUAUAUAUAUAUAUAUAUAUAUGUGAGCACUAUUAUCGAGCAUCUUUCUCUAUUCAUGUGGACGAGUCGAAAGAAUUCCGUCAACGAUGGUCGACCGGACAAUAUGGCGCCCGCCGACGGACACACACACUCGUUCACGUAUUUUUUCUUUUUACGUUCUCUCUCUCUCUUUCUCUAUCUAUUUAUCUAUCUAUCUAUCUAUCUAUCUAUCUAUCUAUCUAUUUAUCUAUCUAUUUAUCUAUCUCUAUCUCAAUCCAUCUAUCUUUCUCUUUACCCAAAGUUUCGCGUGCGUCAUCGACGUACCGUGCGGCAGUAGAGAAAAAGAGAAAGAGAGACUAACCCAAGUACAAACACAUGUACAAAAACCUCCUCUUUAUGGGGCAGCCGGUUAUACGACGGAUGUCGUUGAAAUUCUACGUUUAGGCUAAAUGACGACGAUCCUUUUUCUGACAGGACCGAAGACAAACCAAACGAUCAAUAUUUAAGAACGAAGGAACAUUAUAAGACACGACAGAACGAUUAAAUAUCUAAAUUCAAUUUGUCGAAAAGACAAGGGCAAUAUCUUUGAUUGGAUUCGUCAGAAAGCCAAAGGCUACGGGGUUCACACGGCCAUCGUUGCCGUCUCGAGCACAACUCUAUUGAGACACCAUAUCUAUUAUCUCGACUUUGUUAAACUAUUCUAAGAACUUAAUUACUCGAUUUCCUUUUUUUUACAUUAAAAUAUAUUACGAAAUAAUUUCUUAAGUAAUUAUAGCCGAAACUCACCUUUUUUAUGAGUGCUCUUAGCGGCCCAGAAAUUCAAGGCUUCGGCGUAUUCAACGGCUACCGUCCACUACGAUCUCACAGAGUGCACU